rnacentral:sRNA from 1 species
GACUUACCAUUCCACAUGCCGCGGCGGCCGCGGCUGCUGCAGCAGCGCCCGGAUUGCCCGGCUGCCGCACAGCUUGUAAACGCUGAAGCAUCACAGCUCGAUUGAUUUGAUCCUGUUGCUGUUGCACCUGCUGCUGAUGCUGCUGCUGGGCAUGCUGUUGUACCGCCUGCUGCUGCUGUUGCUGGUGCUGUUGCUGCUGCUGCUGCUGCUGGUGAUGCUGUUGUACCGCCUGCUGUUGGGCAGCCACAGCAUGGGCAACAUGAGCUGCCUGCACCUGAGCGUUGACCACUG